AUUGAACGCUGGCGGCAUGCCUUACACAUGCAAGUCGAACGGCAGCACGGGAGCAAUCCUGGUGGCGAGUGGCGAACGGGUGAGUAAUAUAUCGGAACGUGCCCGGUCGUGGGGAUAACGUAGCGAAAGCUACGCUAAUACCGCAUACGAUCUACGGAUGAAAGCGGGGGAUCGCAAGACCUCGCGCGAUUGGAGCGGCCGAUAUCAGAUUAGGGUAGUUGGUGAGGUAAAGGCUCACCAAGCCGACGAUCUGUAGCUGGUCUGAGAGGACGACCAGCCACACUGGGACUGAGACACGGCCCAGACUCCUACGGGAGGCAGCAGUGGGGAAUUUUGGACAAUGGGCGCAAGCCUGAUCCAGCAAUGCCGCGUGCAGGAUGAAGGCCU
rnacentral:rRNA from 1 species